rnacentral:rRNA from 1 species
UACGUAGGGGGCAAGCGUUGUCCGGAUUUAUUGGGCGUAAAGCGCGUGUAGGCGGCUUUGCAAGUCGGGUGUGAAAGCCCUCAGCUCAACUGAGGAAGUGCGCCCGAAACUGCAGAGCUUGAGUACCGGAGAGGAUGGUGGAAUUCCCCAAGUAGAGGUGAAAUUCGUAGAUAUGGGGAGGAACACCGGUGGCGAAGGCGACCAUCUGGACGGAUACUGACGCUGAGACGCGAAAGCGUGGGUAGCAAACAGG